rnacentral:rRNA from 1 species
UACGGAAGGCACAGGGGGGAAUAUUGCACAAUGGGCGCAAGCCUGAUGCAGCCAUGCCGCGUGUAUGAAGAAGGCCUUCGGGUUGUAAAGUACUUUCAGUCGUGAGGAAGGUGUUAAGGUUAAUAACCUUAGCAAUUGACGUUAGCGACAGAAGAAGCACCGGCUAACUCCGUGCCAGCAGCCGCGGUAAUACGGAGGGUGCGAGCGUUAAUCGGAAUUACUGGGCGUAAAGGGCACGCAGGCGGUUAAUUAAGUUGGAUGUGAAAUCCCCCGGGCUUAACCUGGGAAUGGCAUUCAAGCUGGUUAGCUAGAGUCUUGUAGAGGGGGUAGAAUUCCAUGUGUAGCGGUGAAUGCGUAGAGAUGUGGAGGAAUACCGGUGGCGAAGGGCGGCCCCUGGACAAAGACUGACGCUCAUGUGCGAAAGCGUGGGGAGCAAACAGGAUUAGAUACC